rnacentral:lncRNA from 1 species
CAAAUGCCCAAAUAACUCCCAUUUCUCCCAAAUCGUGGAAUGGUGGAAGGCUGGAAGAAAACCCUUUUCCAAUUUAUUCAAUUCAUCCUUCCCCGCUCGUCCCUACCAGCAUGACGCUGCACACAAGUGACGAGACACGACGAUGCCGGAGACCGCCGGUUUUGCCCCUGCCUGUAGGCUGCAGUGUGAGACACUUCUUCCUUCGCCGACGCCGAUUCGCUUGAUUUCUAAUUGUUUUUCUAACAUGACUUUUGGCUUCAUGAUGAAAAUCUUACAUCUUUUUGAGUUUUGGAGUAAAGAUAGAUAUAUUGUUGUGUUAUCUGUUGAUAUACUAAUUAAUUAUACAAUAAGCCAUAAAAUAUUGUAUUAUUAAUAAAUAGGGUGGAUUAAAAUUUAAAAGUACAAAAUUUAAUUAAAAAUAAGAUUACUGCAAUUUGAGUUAUCUUCAUAAUUUACUUCUGUUAAUUAUUAUAUUCCUCAAAUAUUGGACUGAGGGUGAGGGAUAUAAUUACAUAAUUGAACGGUGCCAAUAUAUUAUGUGAGUGCUUACAUUUUUUAAAUGAAAAUUUUCACAGGGUAUGAAUCGUAUGAUUGCCUGUUUGUAUGUACUAAGUGCUAACUGCUAAAUUGACAAAUUUAAUUUUAUUGUAUUGUAAUUUGUAGGUGCUAACUGCUCAACACCAUGUUUAACAGUUUAAGGGUAUCAAUUUGGUGUGAAAUUGGAACAAAAUCGCAGAAUUCUUUGUCCACUUGGUGAGCAAGUUCCCUCGUUCACUGGUUGGAGACAUGGAGCCAAUAUUAAUGCUAGGGGAUUCCUUCCUCCGGUCAGUGAUUUAAGUUGAUUAGUUGAUGUUAAAUAUGUUGAGAUUUAUUCAUUUGGGAAUUAAAAAAUUGCGAAUCGUGAUUUAUGAAUUAUGAUAAGUAAUUUACGUUUUAUGAGUUAUGAUUAUUGAUUUGGGAAUUUAUGUUUACGAAAUUAUAUUUGCAUUCGUGAUCUAUGAUAAGUGAUUUAUAUUUUGAUGAGGAAUGAUUAUUGAUUUGGAAAUUUAUGUUUACGAAAUUAUGUUGUGAAUUGUGAUUUAUGAUAAGUAAUUUAUAUUUUGUGAGUUAUGAUUAUUGAUUUGAGAAUUUACGUUUAAGAAAUUAGUCAAAGUGAUAAAAUUUAAUUGACAAGAUGUUGGCCGCUCAAUUCAACCCAUGUGUACUUGAUUUUUUUUUUUAAUCAAUUGUAAUUGAUCGUAAUAUUGGACUAUUACUAUCGUCGACGGUCAAUGGUCGUCAGUCAACGAUCAACGAUCAACGAUCAAGCCGCCCUGGCUGGACUUGGAUCUUAGAUUCGCCACUGAUUGAAAACAAGAAGUUG